rnacentral:rRNA from 1 species
CUACGGGGGGCUCCAGUAAGGAAUAUUGCGCAAUGGAGGCAACUCUGACGCAGCCAUGCCGCGUGCAGGAAGAAGGCCUUAUGGGUCGUAAACUGCUUUUAUUUAGGAAUAAACCCCCGAACGUGUUCGGGGCUGAAGGUACUAAACGAAUAAGCACCGGCUAACUCCGUGCCAGCAGCCGCGGUAAUACGGAGGGUGCAAGCGUUAUCCGGAUUUAUUGGGUUUAAAGGGUGCGCAGGCGGGCUAUUAAGUCAGUGGUGAAAUCCCGGGGCUCAACUCCGGAAAUGCCAUUGAUACUGAUAGUCUUGAGUUUGGUUGAAGUGGGCGGAAUGUAGCAUGUAGCGGUGAAAUGCAUAGAUAUGCUACAGAACACCAAUCGCGAAGGCAGCUCACUAAGCCAAAACUGACGCUCAUGCACGAAAGCGUGGGGAUCAAACAGGAUUAGAUACCCGGGUAGUC